GACGAACGCUGGCGGCGUGCUUAACACAUGCGAGUCGAACGGAAAGGCCCUGCUUUUGUGGGGUGCUCGAGUGGCGAACGGGUGAGUAACACGUGAGUAACCUGCCCUUGACUUUGGGAUAACUUCAGGAAGCUGGGGCUAAUACCGGAUAGGAGCUCCUGCUGCAUGGUGGGGGUUGGAAAGUUUCGGCGGUUGGGGAUGGACUCGCGGCUUAUCAGCUUGUUGGUGGGGUAGUGGCUUACCAAGGCUUUGACGGGUAGCCGGCCUGAGAGGGUGACCGGCCACAUUGGGACUGAGAUACGGCCCAGACUCCUACGGGAGGCAGCAGUGGGGAAUAUUGCACAAUGGGCGGAAGCCUGAUGCAGCCACGCCGCGUGCGGGAUGACGGCCUUCGGGUUGUAAACCGCUUUCGCCUGUGACGAAGCGUGAGUGACGGCAAUGGGUAAAGAGGCACCGGCUAACUACGUG
rnacentral:rRNA from 1 species